UACGAAGGGGGCUAGCGUUGCUCGGAAUCACUGGGCGUAAAGCGCACGUAGGCGGAUUGCUAAGUCAGGGGUGAAAUCCUGGAGCUCAACUCCAGAACUGCCUUUGAUACUGGCGACCUUGAGUCCGGGAGAGGUGAGUGGAACUGCGAGUGUAGAGGUGAAAUUCGUAGAUAUUCGCAAGAACACCAGUGGCGAAGGCGGCUCACUGGCCCGGUACUGACGCUGAGGUGCGAAAGCGUGGGGAGCAAACAGG
rnacentral:rRNA from 2 species